GACGAACGCUGGCGGCGUGCUUAACACAUGCAAGUCGAACGGAAAGGCCCUGCUUUUGUGGGGUGCUCGAGUGGCGAACGGGUGAGUAACACGUGAGUAAACUGCCCUUGACUUUGGGGUAACUUCUGGAAACUGGGGCUAAUACAGGAUAGGAUCUCCUGCUGCAUGGGGGGGGUUGGAAAGUUUCGGCGGUUGGGGAUGGACUCGCGGCUUAUCAGCUUGUUGGUGAGGUAGUGGCUGACCAAGGCUUUGACGGGUAGCCGGCCUGAGAGGGUGACCGGCCACAUUGGGACUGCGAUACGGCCCAGACUCCUACGGGAGGCAGCAGUGGGGAAUAUUGCACAAUGGGCGGAAGCCUGAUGCAGCAACGCCGCGUGCGGGAUGACGGCCUUCGGGUUGUAAACCGCUUUCGCCUGUGACGAAGCGUGAGUGACGGUAAUGGGUAAAGAAGCACCGGCUAACUACGUG
rnacentral:rRNA from 1 species